UACGAAGGGGGCUAGCGUUGUUCGGAAUCACUGAGCGUAAAGCGCACGUAGGCGGAUCUUUAAGUCAGGGGUGAAAUCCUGGAGCUCAACUCCAGAACUGCCUUUGAUACUGAAGAUCUUGAGUUCGGGAGAGGUGAGUGGAACUGCGAGUGUAGAGGUGAAAUUCGUAGAUAUUCGCAAGAACACCAGUGGCGAAGGCGGCUCACUGGCCCGAUACUGACGCUGAUGCACGAAAGCGUGGGGAGCAAACAGG
rnacentral:rRNA from 1 species